rnacentral:rRNA from 1 species
CGCCUCUUGCAAGAUUAACGAAUAAGAGGUCCCGCCUGCCCUGUGACCAGUGAGUUCAACGGCCGCGGUAUCCUGACCGUGCGAAGGUAGCGCAAUCAAUUGCUCCUUAAAUGGGGGCCUGUAUGAAUGGCGCAACGAGGGCUUAACUGUCUCCUUUUUCAGGUCAGUGAAAUUGAUCUCCCCGUGCAGAAGCGGGGCUAAAACCAUAAGACGAGAAGACCCUAUGGAGCUUUAGACACCAAGGCAGACCAGGUUUAUCACCCCCCUUUAAAGGGCAAAACUUUUUGGCCUCCUGCCCUAAUGUCUUCGGUUGGGGCGACCCCGGGGGAAAGAAAAGCCCCCGAGCAGAAAGAGAAUCUAAUUCUCCUAGCCAAGAGUCUCCACUCUAAUAAUCAGAACCUCUGACUUAACUGAUCCGGCAAUGCCGAUCAACGGACCAAGUUACCCUAGGGAUAACAGCGCAAUCCUCUUUUAGAGCCCAUAUCGACAAGGGGGUUUACGACCUCGAUGUUGGAUCAGGACAUCCUAAUGGCGCAGCCGCUAUUAAGGGUUCGUUUGUUCAACGAUUAAAGUCCU